CCCUAGCCCGGAUGGCAGCGGCAUCCUUUUUUGCGCUUCUUUAGCGCAGAAAAGAUUGCCUCACAAAGUUAAUAUUCGAUUUCUGUGUUCGGCCCGUUCGCUACGCUCGGGUGCAGCGUACAGCCGGAAUAGCU
rnacentral:misc_RNA from 1 species